AUAGCUCAAUUGGUAGAGCAGUGGGCUGAAGAUCCAGAGGUCCAGGGUUCAACUCCCGGU
rnacentral:tRNA from 1 species